AGCCACGCAAUGAGCACAGAGCAAACUAUUCUGCCCUUUACUAAAGAAUGUUGUGUACUCAUUGCAGAAAGUGGCAUAUGCUGAUAUUUGGAGUGCUAGUUGCAGAAAGUGGCAU
rfam:Capsicum annuum cultivar Zunla-1 chromosome 12, whole genome shotgun sequence